rnacentral:rRNA from 1 species
CCAGCCACACUGGGACUGAGACACGGCCCAGACUCCUACGGGAGGCAGCAGUGAGGAAUUUUCCGCAAUGGGCGAAAGCCUGACGGAGCAAUGCCGCGUGAAGGAUGACGGCCUGCGGGUUGUAAACUUCUUUUCUUAGAGAAGAAACUGACGGUAUCUAAGGAAUAAGCAUCGGCUAACCCCGUGCCAGCAGCCGCGGUAAUACGGGGGAUGCAAGCGUUAUCCGGAAUGAUUGGGCGUAAAGCGUCUGCAGGUGGUUUAAAAAGUCUAGUGUCAAAGCCCAAGGCUUAACCUUGGAUCGGCAAUGGAAACUUUUAGACUAGAGUGCGGUUGAGGUAGAUGGAAUUACCGGUGUAACGGUGAAAUGUGCAGAUAUCGGUAAGAACACCAACGGCGAAAGCAAUCUACUGGGCCAAAACUGACACUGAGAGACGAAAGCUAGGGGAGCGAAUAGGAUUAGAUACCCUAGUAGUCCUAGCUGUAAACGAUGGAAACUAAGUAUUGAGCGUAAGAGCAGUACUGUAGCUAACGCGUUAAGUUUCCCGCCUGGGAAGUAUGCUCGCAAGAGUGAAACUCAAAGAAAUUGACGGGGGCCCGCACAAGCGGUGGAGCAUGUGGUUUAAUUCGAUGCAACGCGAAGAACCUUACCGGGGAUUGACAUUUUGCGCAUUUCUUGGAAACGAGAAAGUCCAAACGCAUAAACAGGUGGUGCAUGGCUGUCGUCAGCUCGUGUCGUGAGACGUAAGGUUAAGUCCUGUAACGAGCGCAACCCUUAUUGUUAGUUGCUUGAAAAAGGAAACUAGUGAGACUGCCAGUUAUAAGCUGGAGGAAGGUGAGGAUGACGUCAAGUCAGCAUGCCCCUUAAAUCCCGGGCUACACACGUGCUACAAUGGUUGGGACAAAAAGAAGCUAACUCGUGAGAGCACGCAAACCUUAAAAACCCAAUCUCAGUUCGGAUUGGAGGCUGCAACUCGCCUCCAUGAAGCCGGAAUCGCUAGUAAUCGCAGGUCAGCCAUACUGCGGUGAAUACGUUCCCGGGCCUUGUACACACCGCCCGUCACACCAUGGAAGCUGAUUGGGCCCGAAGUCGUUGUAAAAGAUCGGAAGAGCACACGUCUGAACUCCAGUCACUU